CGGCUGGCCCGCGUGACUCAUUGGAAGUUGACACAUCAUUUUCCGCGCGGCGGAGUUCUGCUGAAUUAACCCUAUCUCCGCGCACAAGGCGCCCGCCUGUGGGAAUAUGAUGCAUUUCGGUCAGGAUUCAUGACAUGCAUCGACAGUAAACGAGAUUUGCUGCCGGGCUGGGAAAGGUUGCGAGGAUUUGAAGGAGAGCUGUUCUUUCUUACGGACACUUCAGAGGAGGACAUCGCCGACUUGAGACGCGCGCAAAAGACGCACUGCAUUUUCCUUCGAGGAGCCAACUGUAACAUUGGAACAGAGAGGAAAGAUGAAGCUGGUCGUCCUUGUGUUUCUGGGCGUGGUCAUCGUUGCUAUGGGGAUGGAUGAAGAACAAAAGCGUUGGCGCUGGGGGCAGGACGCGUCCAUGAUCUCCCGGAUGUCGUCACCCCAGUACUACUGGUUUAGGAACAGGAGAGGGGUAAGGUGGUUUUAAUAUGUUUC